UUCUAUUUUUGGAAGACAUUUCAAAGCCUUUUUUCUUUUUUAGUAAGUGCUAAUAUAAACGUCCAAUAGAAUAGAACUUACUGUAAUACAAAUGCAUACAAGUUUUUAUUUAUUAUUGACAUAGUCAUCUGUAUUUCCCUAUAGGAAGCCUCUAUUUGUGCAUGCUUUUAAAAGUGGAUUUCAUCAGGGCCCAGCCCAGUGGUACGGUGGUUAAAUUGAUGUGCUCUGCUUCAGAGGCCCAGGGUUUGCAGGUUCAGAUCCUGAGCACAGACGUUGCACUGCUCGUCAAGCCACACUGUGGCGGCAUCCCACAUGAAAUAGAAGAAGAGUGGCAUAGAUCUUAGCUCAGUGACAAUCUUCCUCAAGCAGAAAGAGGGAGAUUGGCAACAGAUGUGAGCUCAGGGUCAAUCUUCCUCACACACAAAAAAUAAAUAAAAAAUAAAAGUGGAUUUCAUUAAGAAAAUUUCUGUUUCAUAUCAACAAUAUUGCUCCUUUCCUGAGAGAUGUUCCAAGUAUCCUUCGAAAGCAUCUUCACUAUUUCUUAAGUUGUUAAGGCUUUCUAAAUCCAAGAACCAAUGUUAUACAAAAAAUUUGAAAAUCUCCUUUGUACAAACACAGCCUCAGUCAUGCUUUUCUAUCUGUAUUUUUGUUUAAAGACACACCAGCCGGCCUAUUGUAGGAGAUCAUGUUGAGCCAGAAACUGAACCAAGAAAAUGACAUUUCCAAACAAGUGUUUUUCCUCAAAAACAUUGCCCCUCUAAUAUUAUCAAAUGUAGUUAUCAAUUCUGUAUUAGCCAAUUGCAGAGUCUUACAGAAAAUAUAUUUUAAAACAAGGGAAGGUGGAAUCAUGAUUACCUUUGACCCGGUGACAAAAGAUCCAGGACCAGGAAAUGGUCCAUAAAGCAGCUGAACAUAAAAGUUUAAAAUAUUUGAUUGAAGCAGAACCACCCUGAGACACACCCAUUCAUUUAUGCGGUUGUUUUCUUCUUGUAAAUAUCACCUUGGGUUUGUCUACACUCUGCCAAAACAAUCUUUCAAUGUAAAUAACUAACACUCUUCUAAAGAACCCUCAAGUCAUAAAAGCUAGCAUCUAGAUGGAGGAUGCUUCCCAUUUUUUUUUUCCUCAAGUAAGAUUGGUAUUUGGCAUAAAAUAAGAUUCAAGGUAUAAAAGAAAAAGAUUUGUAUACAGUAAUGCUUUUCUUCCUAAGCAAACCAAAUCCCCCCCAAUGUAAAUUUUGAUAUGUGCCAGGAAAAGACGAUACGGGUCACAUGCUGGAACGGGCUCACGUUUACUCAUGAGAGUUAAUCAUUAAAUUUUCAGCAAUUUUGUAAGCCAGUAGUAAAACACAACUAUGGUUAAAUAUUAAAUUAUGAAAUAAAAUUGAAUAAAUUUUAUUAAAGCAAAGAUAAAACUUACUACUUCCUAUUUUACUACCUUUUACAAAUUUUCUAUGUUCUUGAGGUUAUUUGUGUUAAUUGUAUCUGUACAAUUGAAAUAGUAUAUUAUAGAGAUGCAUUACUGUGCAUAUCUUCCUGGCUCCACCUUCGGUAACAUCACGUUGGUAGCUUGAAAUUGACCCCAGUGGGAGUAUUUACACCACAGAAACUGCCAAAUGCUACAAAUCAGGGUUUUUAAUUCCUGGAAAGCCAGUGGAUAAACAUUUACUGGCACACAACUGAAUGCCACCAUCAUUUUUUCUCCAGAAAAUAACAAACAAUUGGAAGCAGGAUCAAAUUAUUAAAAUGACAUUAAAUGCAAUCACUUAUCUUCAGAUGGGUGCAAUUUUCUUUUGCUUUUUACCCUCUUUAAAGACUCUUAUUAGUCUAUAAGUAAUAUUUGAUGUUUAUAUUUUAUUCAUAAUUUAUUUAAUCAUAGAGAUGCACUUAAAAAUGUAUCUCUCUAUGAUGUUUGGCAAGGGAAAUCUUAGCAAUGGAGCUUUAGUGUAAGCAAUAACAACUCCGGGCUAAAUUCAGGGAAAUGUCAGCCUAAUUAGAGUAUUACUGAAAAUGUGCUUCAGUAUCAAUUUUUUAAGUUUAUAAUUUUAGUAUUUGCUAAAAGCACUAAAAACAGUAACAUAUUACUGUGUGCCAAUUCUAGUAAAUAUGGCUCAAUUGGAACCCAAACUGUUAGAUUAAGCAAAUUAAACUCUGGCAGUAUGCUAAAUCAACACAGAUGUUUUAGGUGUUUGAUUUCCAAACAGGAUGGCCUAUCAAUUGUUCAGUUCAAUAUAAAGGGCGUCUUUUGUAAUCCUCUAGGAAAUAAAUUAACUUUUAUCACAGAUUUAAGAAACUGAGCUGUGAAAAACUAUAAUCAACAGUUACAGAGGGAAAUGAACAUAUUGAACGCAAAGCAUCCCUAAUAGCUGGAAGGUUUAGAAAUUAUGCACUACUGAAGAGAAUGAUUUGCUGAGAGUUGUGUAGUUGAUUGACAGUUUAGUGUGUGAAUUCACGUUCAUUUAGCCCAGCUGCAAUCUGCAAAAGCUAUGCUUUUUACCCCCAUAUUUAUUUUCCGUUGCUUUGUAAAGCAAGUCCAAUAUAUUAUAUCUUUUGUUUCUUUGGUUGUUUUAAGUUAGAACUUCCUCUCCAAACAGAUGCUACAAAUAAUAACUGCCUUUAAGAACAGAAAAUGAAAUUAAUGUUUUAGAUAAAAUAUUGCAGGCCAAUUAGGUAUUGAGUUGAGGUAUAAGAGUUUGGAUUUUUACUUUCUGAGUCAUAGUGCAGAUGAAACACUCUUUGAAUUUUAUUUCUAAGCAAGUCAGAGAAAGUCUAAAGCGUUUUUGAUGUCAAAGAAAAAUCAUAUCUGACUUUUAGUAACAAGGAGUUGGAAAAAAUUGUAAGGUAAUAUUAACCAACAAAAAAAAUGAACAUGUAAUCAGCUCUCCUGAGUUUGAAUUUUUUAUAGAUUACAUGACUAUUUAUAUUUUUAAAUUAAAAAAGGAAAAAAAGGCUCACAAUGAAGUAUAGUACCCAGAGAGUGUGAAUGUCAAGGGAGAGAAGACCGCAUACAAGUCAUGUUGCCUGAAACCAUAUCUUGCUUAUCUUUUAGAAAAUAUAGCUCUUUAAGAAUAUGUUGCACUUUCAUACACAUUCACAAUCUUCCUAAAAUCAUCUAAAUUACUUACUCCAAGGUCAUAAAAGGGCACAAUCCAACCAUACAUCUUUAAUGAUGACUUGGUGUUGUUUCAUUGACUAGGAGGCGAUAUUGACUCAAAUAUUGGCAAGAUUGCUGUAUUAUCUAUAUAGUUCUUAUGAUGCUAUCACUACCAAUAUUAAAAAAUAUUUCAUGUCAAAGAACUUUCAAACCUUUAAAAGGCAGACUCCAUUUGUCUAUGACUAUAUAGACACUCCCAUUUCUCUGCACACGUGCAAUCAUUUGUACACAUAUAUUUCUCAUGUGAAUAUUUUAUUUUAUUUAAUCUAACACCUAAUUUUCAGAUUCUUGUGGUACUUAUCUGAAACAUUGGGAUUUGUGGCUUUUUUUAUGUUAAAUUUAUAUUCUACAUAAACCAAUAAUUUGUAUUCCUAGAAAAUGAGGCACAAAUAGGUUAGAUAAUCUUAUAUUGGCAUUUGAAGAAAUAUCAUUUUGUUUUAUUGUUCUGUGUAAACCAUAUUCAUU
rnacentral:lncRNA from 1 species